rnacentral:rRNA from 1 species
UACGUAGGGGGCGAGCGUUGUCCGGAAUUACUGGGCGUAAAGGGUGCGUAGGCGGAUAUACAAGUCCGAUGUGAAAUGCUUCGGCUUAACCGGGGAGUUGCAUUGGAAACUGUAUAUCUAGAGUGCAGGAGAGGGAAGCGGAAUUCCUAGUGUAGCGGUGAAAUGCGUAGAUAUUAGGAGGAACACCAGUGGCGAAGGCGGCUUCCUGGAUUGCAACUGACGCUGAGGCACGAAAGCUGGGGCAGCGAACAGGAUUAGAUACC